rnacentral:tRNA from 1 species
GGGCGAGUGGCGGAAUGGCAGACGCGCUGGSUUYAGGKGCCAGUGUCCUUCGGGACGUGGGGGUUCAAGUCCCCCUUCGCCCC